AACGAACGCUGGAGGCAUGCCUUAUACAUGCAAGUCGAACGCGAAAGUACCUUCGGGUAUCAGUAGAGUGGCAAACGGGUGAGUAACGCGUGGGAAUAUACCUUAUAGUACGGAAUAGCCUCGGGAAACUGGGAUUAAUACCGUAUACGCCCUUAGGGGGAAAGAUUUAUCGCUAUAAGAUUAGCCCGCGUCAGAUUAGCUAGUUGGUGGGGUAACGGCCUACCAAGGCAACGAUCUGUAGCUGGUCUGAGAGGAUGACCAGCCACAUUGGGACUGAGAUACGGCCCAAACUCCUACGGGAGGCAGCAGUAGGGAAUAUUGGACAAUGGGGGAAACCCUGAUCCAGCAAUGCCUCGUGAGUGAUGAAGGCCUUAGGGUUGUAAAGCUCUUUUAGUGGGGAAGAUAAUGACGGUACCCACAGAAAAGGCACCGGCUAACUCCGUGCCAGCAGCCGCCGUAA
rnacentral:rRNA from 1 species